AAUGAUGGUUUGGUUACUUCUCAUUAUAGUUUUUAUGGGACUUUUUGUCUGCAUUCAAAAAGCUCUAUAAUCUCUACAGUAGUUUUACCCACUACAGAAAUUAUAGAGCC
rfam:Streptococcus thermophilus LMG 18311, complete genome.